rnacentral:rRNA from 1 species
UGCAGAAUCCCGUGAAUCAUCGAGUCUUUGAAUGCAAGUUGCGCUCGAGGCCAUUAGGUCGAGAGCACGUCUGCUUGGGCGUCA